CUCCAUUCUCAUCAAAACCGUUGAUUACUGAGCUAGCUAAGCAGCAUCAAGGAAGAGUGGAGAGGCGCCAUGAGAAAGAGUGUUCUUCUUCUCCUCAUACUCGUCUCCCUCUUCUUCUUUGCUUCUCGGGAGAAGGCGAUGGUGGAGGGUCGCACGUGCGAGUCGGCGAGCUCUCACUUCAAAGGGCUGUGCGCGAGGAGCAGCAACUGCGCGAGCGUGUGCCAGGGCGAGGGCUUCCCCGACGGCGGCUGCGAGGGGGUCCGGCGCCGCUGCAUGUGCAAGAAGCCUUGUUGAUUACUUAAUUGUUAAUUAUGAUGUAAUAAUCACCAGCUAAUUAAUUAAGUUCACUUUUAGUUAAUUAGCUGCCGCCAUGAUCAUCUUCUUGAUCAUGAUCGAAAUUAGAGAAGUUUAAGAUGGAUCACAUCUCUCCCCUCCUUAAUUGAAGCUACGUACGUACCAUGCAUGCACCAGUACUGUCCUGUAAUGAUGCUUAAUGAUCAACUGUAAACUACCAACUUAAUUUAAGCUUAUCUGUCUUUGAAUGCUAGUUUUAUCA